UACGAAGGGUGCAAGCGUUACUCGGAAUUACUGGGCGUAAAGCGUAUGCAGGCGGAUCAUUAAGUCGGGGGUGAAAUCCCGAGGCUCAACCUCGGAACUGCCUUCGAUACUGAUGAUCUUGAGUCCGGGAGAGGUGAGUGGAACUGCGAGUGUAGAGGUGAAAUUCGUAGAUAUUCGCAAGAACACCAGUGGCGAAGGCGGCUCACUGGCCCGGUACUGACGCUGAGAUACGAAAGCGUGGGGAGCAAACAGG
rnacentral:rRNA from 1 species